CCGGGGCUCUUCGUUUCUGGAUCCCCGACGCCUGCGCAGGUAACACCCAGCCAUCCAAUGCCUGACCUAAGGUUACUCAGGAGCAUUUAGGGUACUGUGGUGGAAUCCCAGAGGCAGGACUGGCACAGAAGGGAACCUGUCCCCUGAGCUUUGCAAGAUCAACAGGAGUUCAGCCCUGAGACGGCAGUAGUGUCAGGAAGGAACUUGGAUCUGACAUAAGGAGCCAGCAUGCUGCUGCAUGGUUACAGACAGGGUGACGUGAACUCACCGUUUGCUUCUCCGUCCAGAGGGAGAGCUGAGGAAGGU